CCCCUUCGCAUCCUUGCAUGCGUGAAACUAGGUCAUUAUAGCGUCUUUAUAGCGUGGGCCGCUGCCAUGUUGAAACAAUCCAAGUCGUCUGUGUGUGAAGAACUAAGUUUCAGUUCCGAAUCGGCGACAAUUCACAGACCCAACAAGUUUAAUCUUACAACGUAACAAAUCAACUUAAGUGGAUUUUAAUCAACUUUCUGAAGGAGCAAGAUCUUUGGAAUAACAGGAACCAUUGACGACACAUUAUUCACCUUUGAUAGAGAUCAGAGAACUCUCAGUAUUCAAAGUCGUCAGUGUCCGAUCAUUUCUAUCCUAGAUCUGGACGAAAUAAAACAAACCAUUCAGCUUUUAAUUGACGGCGAAGCAGGCCUGGAGAAAGCACAGUUUGAGAGAGAUUAUCAACAUCUGCUGUAACAUUACAUCAAAGGCGAGGGAGCGCGUUGCUCAGACCUGCAGGGAGCUGCUGUAGAGACGGUUUUCGUCAAUGGUGAAAGAUGUCGCGAAAAUUGGUCACCUUCCAAUACAACUUCUACUACAAGUACUACACCUACAAGUACUAGACCUACAACUGUUACAAUAACAUCCCCUACAAGUUCGACAACUACAACUUCUAGUAAAACUACUACCUCUACAUCCUUACUACACCUCCCACUACGGCUACUACGACUACUACAACCCCCACUACAACAACUACUACACCUCCCACUACGGCUACUACUACACCUCCCACUACGACUACUACAACAACUACACCUCCCACUACGGCUACUACGACUACUACUACAACAACUACUACACCUCCCACUACGG
rnacentral:lncRNA from 1 species